UUCUUCUUCCUUUUCUCUUUCCUUUCUUUCUCUCUUCUUUUUUUUCCUCUCUUCUUUCUUCGCUUUCCAUUUUCUUUGCCAUAGCUGUUCGUCUUUCUUCACCACCGACUAUUAAGUCCCAAGGAAGGUCACCGUUGCUAUUAGACCAAUUUCAUCCCCCUCCAAUUUGCUUCACCGUCGGCAAUCGUAGCCCCUAAAAUUUAUCUGCCGAAUUGGUGCACCACUAAAGGAGAUUUCUCACCUGCAUGGACAAGUCCAUCAAAUGGAUGAUCGGUUGGCUAAUGUAGAGCUUCACAUGUCUUUUGCCUCUCACCUAUAGCUGUGCCACAGCUCCCCUGAUUAUCAGGGAAGUUUCAUUGCUCCUUUCCUCUACUUUAAUUUUUUUUAUUUCUUACAUUAGGGACAAUGUAAGAUUUAGGUGUGGGGGGUAGUAUAUGAUAUUAUAUUAGAAAAGUACAGGUGUAGGCAUUUUUGUUGGAAAUUUUGUUCAACUUUGUUGAAUUUUAUCCAAUUUUUGCCACUUCUUGCAUAUUUUUGUGGUUAUUCCUGAUUAACAAUGGCUAAAUAUUUCAAAAUUUUCUAUUGCUAAGGUUUUAUGUGUUAAUGUAUCAAGUAUAGCAUGGUUAAGUCGAAGCAUAUCGCUCUGGCGAAUAUUUGAGAUUUGUUACUUUUACCAUUUUUGAUUAACUUUUCUAGGUAUUGUAAAUAUUUGUCUAUCAUUUUCAUGUAAAUUGGUUCAACUAUUAAUCUUAGUUUUCCAUGUUUGGGAGAUCAAGCGGACUUGUGAUGUUA
rnacentral:lncRNA from 1 species